rnacentral:lncRNA from 1 species
UGACCCCCGUCCAACUAUCAUCGACUAGCACCACAUCGUCCGCAAAGAGCAUACACCAUGGGAUACCUCCUUGUAUAUCCCUUGUGACCUCAUACAUCACCAAGGCAAAAAGAUAAGGGCUCAAAGCCGACCCUGGUGCAAUCCUAUUUUAAUCGGGAAGUCAUCGCUAUCACCAUCACUUGUUCGAACACUUGUCACAACAUUUUCGUACAUUCCUUGAUGAGGGUAAUGUACUUUGCUGGGACUUUGUGUGUCUCCAAGGCCCACCACAUGACAUUCCGCGCGGUAUCUUAUCAUAGGCCUUCUCCAAAUCAAUGAACACCAUAUGCAUGUCCUUAUUUUGCUCCCUGUAUCUCUCCAUAAGUUGUCGUACCAAGAAAAUGGCUUCCAUGGUCGACCUCCCAGGCAUGAAACCAAACUCAUUUUGGUCACGCUUGUCACUCUUCUUAGACGGUGCUCAAUGACUCUCUAACAUAGCUUCAUUAUAUGACUCAUCGGCUUAAUUCCACAGUAAUUAGUACAACUUUGAACAUCCCCUUUGUUCUUGAAGAUUUGUACUAAUAUACUCCAUUCUUCUAGAAUCUUUUUUGCCCGAAAUAUGAGGUUGAAAAGCUUGGUUAACCAUACUAGCGCUAUGUCCCCGAGGCCUCUUCAUACCUCAAUGGGGAUACAAUCGGGGCCCAUCGCCUUCCCUCCUUUCAUCCUUCUUAAAGCCUCCUUGACCUCCGACUCCUGGAUACGCCGCACAAAAUGCCUGCUAGUAUCAUCAAAGGAGUCGUCUAGUUUAAUGGUAGAGCUCUCACUC